rnacentral:lncRNA from 1 species
UAUAAUUUAACUACUUCAGUCAUCAUGUCUUUUUCUUUUUACAAAGUCAAUUUUCCUACAUAACUCCAAAUUUUUUUCACACCAUCUAAGUAAUAUUUUAAUAUUUUCCAUAUCCAAUCCGUAUUCAAAUUUCCCCAAUUACCUCCAAAUGACUUAUGAAAAAAAAUGCUAUUUUAAUCGGGAGCCAAUAGCGGAUUACCCUUUGCAUUUGACAGCAGAGUUCAGGCUUAACCCUUAACCUCUUCAGGCUCGGAGGACCCUGGGCAGGAGAGAUUUAAGAACACCGUCCUCCCGCUUUCGCGAAAGGCCAAGAGUGACUUGAAAUGUAGACGCGGAGGCCUAUGGGAAAUGUAGUUUUAAAUAGGUGAGGUUCACCGCCUGGACUCUGGGAAGGGGACGCCACGCUCCUUCUGCGCAUGUGCAGCCGUAGCCUCCUCGUUCGUCUUCUCAGGACUCCAGAGAACCGUUGGGGAACUUUGGGGUGUGCUCGGAAAAUGCAGGAGCUUCAGAGCAGAGACAAGAGCCCAGAAAGGAGCAGAUGCUAGAUUUGCAAGAUCAGAAGCAGGUCUUGAUCCUCCUGCCCAGAAUGAACCAGACUUGAUGAUGAUGCCACCUUCAGGAGCCACCACACUGUGUGACAGUGGGGCAUUUGGGCCGUCCCUGGGAAGUACAGAUGCGCUGCUGUCACACAUGUCCACCACCACAUGUGACAUUAGUGACGUUAUCCUGAUGUCACAGGAUCCAAGAAUGAUGAUCUGUGAAGAGUUUUCCGAGGUCACCUACUUCUAACUCUUUUGAAAGAUUUAAAGACAUUGGGCCUGAAAAUUUCAGUGACUUGUCCAGGGAAACGCAGUUUGUGACAGUUCACUCUCUCACAGCUGAACCACAGUCCUCUGUACUCGCCCAGGAGCCACAGAAGUGAACAUCCCUCAGGUAUGAAGGUCUUCUUGAGCAUUUCCUGUUUGGGGUGUCUUGUGGCGAUGAACUACCUCAGCUUUUGUUUAUGUGGGAAAGUUUUUAUUUCUCCACCAUAUCUGUAGGAUAUUUUUCCCUGGAUAGAGUAUUCUUGGCUGAAGGUUUUUGUCUUUCAGAAUUUUGAAUAUCUCAUUCUACCUUCUCAUAUCCUGUAAAGAUUCUGCUGAGAAAUCUC